AUUGAACGCUGGCGGCAUGCUUUACACAUGCAAGUCGAACGGCAGCACGGGGGCAACCCUGGUGGCGAGUGGCGAACGGGUGAGUAAUACAUCGGAACGUAUCCUUAAGUGGGGGAUAACGCACCGAAAGGUGUGCUAAUACCGCAUAAUCUCCGAGGAGAAAAGCAGGGGAUCGCAAGACCUUGCGCUUUUGGAGCGGCCGAUGUCUGAUUAGCUAGUUGGUGAGGUAAAGGCUUACCAAGGCGUCGAUCAGUAGCUGGUCUGAGAGGACGACCAGCCACACUGGGACUGAGACACGGCCCAGACUCCUACGGGAGGCAGCAGUGGGGAAUUUUGGACAAUGGGGGAAACCCUGAUCCAGCCAUGCCGCGUGAGUGAAGAAGGCCUUCGGGUUGUAAAGCUCUUUCAGCCGGAACGAAACGGUCACGGUUAAUACCCGUGACUACUGACGGUACCGGAAGAAGAAGCACCGGCUAACUACGUGCCAGCCGCCGCAGUAAAAC
rnacentral:rRNA from 1 species